UACGAAGGUCCCAAGCGUUAUCCGGAUUUAUUGGGUUUAAAGGGUGCGUAGGCGGGCUAUUAAGUCAGUGGUGAAAGCCCCAAGCUUAACUUGGGAACUGCCAUUGAUACUGAUGGUCUUGAGUACAUUUGAGGUGGGCGGAAUGUGUCAUGUAGCGGCGAAAUGCUUAGAUAUGACACAGAACACCGAUUGCGAAGGCAGCUCACUAAACUGUAACUGACGCUGAGGCACGAAAGCGUGGGGAGCAAACAGG
rnacentral:rRNA from 1 species